rnacentral:rRNA from 1 species
AAGCGCAAUAAGCCACUUGGUGGAUGCCUCGGCUUGGGAGCUGAUGAAGGGCGUGGCAAGCUGCGAUAAGCCCAGGGUAGGCGCAUGCAGCCUUUGAACCUGGGAUUCCCGAAUUGCUCCUUCGGGAGCAGGAACGCGGGGAAUUGAAACAUCUUAGUACCCGCGGGAGAAGAAAGCAACAGCGAUUCCCUGAGUAGCGGCGAGCGAAAAGGGAAGAUAGCAAUCUGAAGCAUAUGCGGCAACGUAUAUGCAAUGUGGAUUUGGCCUCUUUGGACCUUUCUUUUCAACUGCCGAAGUCCCCUGGAACGGGGCGGGCUACAGGGUGAUACCCCCGUAGGCAGGAAAAGAGAGGUUCUUAGGAGUGUCCAAGAGUAGCGUACCUUGACUGGUGCGUGAAGGCGGGAGAACCAACUCCCAACUAUAAAUACGCCCCAAGACCGAUAGCGAACUAGUACCGUGAGGGAAAGGUGAAAGAGAUACCCGAAAGGGUAGUGAAAAGAGCCUGAAACCAAGUGGCGACAGGCGAUGCGGCUCAAAAGGUACUCCUCCCGAAGGCAACGAGGGAGGAUUAUCCGGGGUCGCAUCUUCGGUCAUGAAGCACUGGGCAGGGAGUUUGUCGUUGUGGCAAGGUUAACCCGAAGAGGGGAAGCCGAAGGGAAACCAAUGCCUCGCAGCCCUCUGGGCGAGGAGGAAGGUGUUAACAGCGCCUGAGUCACAGCGGCAAGACCUGAAGCCGGGCGAUCUACACCUGGGCAUGGCGAAGCCGGGAAACAACCUGGUGGAGGCCAUCAACCGGUGUUGAGAUCAACUCACUCGGGUGACCUGGGUGUAGGGGUGAAAGGCCAAUCUAGCUCGGCGAUAGCAGGCUCCUCUCGAUACAUCCCGUAGGAUGACCCUGCUGGAGAUGGAUAGUGCGGUAGAGCACCAAUUAGGAGGUUAAGGGUCGAGAGAUUCGGCCUCCUUGUUAAACUCCGAAUGCACUAUCGUCGUAGAAGGCAGGAGUCGGGGCACCGGGGUAAGCUUGGUGUCCGUGAGGGGAACAACCCAGACCAGGGUUAAGGUCCCUAAAUCUUGGCUAAGUGUUAAAGGGUAAAGGAGGUCAGUUUCCACAGACAGCGGGGAGGUAGGCUUAGAAGCAGCCAUCCUUUAAAGAAUGCGUAACAGCUCACCCGCCGAGGAAACUGGCGCCGAAAAUGGACGGGGCUAAGCCAAGUACCGAUACCCUGGGUAGGAAUUCUUGAGAAUUCCUGCGGUAGAGAGGCGUGCUGCGUGGGCAGAAGCACGGCGGUGACGUCGUGUGGACCGCGUGGCAAUGAAAAUCCUGCCGAUAGUAACAGCAAAGAAGCGUGAAAAUCGCUUCCGCCGAAAGGGCCAGGGUUCCUCAGCAAUGUUCAUCAGCUGAGGGUUAGUCGGUCCUAACUCCGCUCGUAACCCGACGCGGAGGAAAGGGAAACGGGUUAAUAUUCCCGUACCUUGGGGAUACCUGCGGCAACGCAUGUCGCUCCCAUGACGCUUUGGGAUAGCCUGAGCAUCGCCGUCGCGAUGUCUAAGCAGGAUAGGACUGUGGAGUAUCGUCACGAUGAGAAGCAGCCCAAACUGCGAAUGGCCGGCGUUUGCCGGUUCGGGUGAGUCCCAGAGCCCGUGAAAAGUGGGAGCGAAAAUGGGAGUCCCCAAGACCGUACCUAGAACUGGCACAGGUGCCCCUAGCUGAAAAGGCUAAGGCGUGACGGGCGACCCUUCCUGAGGGAACUCGGCAAAUUAGUCCCGUAUCUUCGGUAGAAGGGAUGCCUGCCUUCUCUGCUCUGCAGGGAAAGGUAGGUCGCAGUGACAAGGGGGGAGCGACUGUUUACCAAAAACACAAGUCCCAGCUAGCCGGUAACGGUAAGUACUGGGGCUGACGCCUGCUCACUGCCAGUACGUGAAACCGGGGUUCAACCCGGCUAAGCGCUGGUGAAGAGCGGGGGUAACUCUGACCCUCUUAAGGUAGCGUAAUACCUCGCCGCUUAAUUGGCGGCUUGCAUGAAGGGCGUAACGACUCCCCCACUGUCCCCAGGAAGGACCCGGUGAAAUCACUGGCAGGUGAACAUGCCUGCGACUCCCAGUGGGACGAGAAGACCCCAUGGAGCUUUACCGCAGCCUCAUGUUACGGUGUGUUUGCGGAUACAUAGGAUAGUUGGGAGGCUUCGAAGCACUCUCUGCGGGGAGUGUGGAGCCAACGGUGUAAUACCAACUGUCCGUAACCACAUCGUUCACCCUGCGAAAGCAGGGGACAGCAUGUGGUGGGCGGUUUGGUUGGGGCGGCACACGCCUGAAAAGGUAUCAGGCGUGCCCAAAGGUCGGCUCAGACCGGUCAGAAAUCGGUCGUAGAGAGUCAAGGGCAAAAGCCGGCUUGACUGUGUUCCGUACAGAGAGGAACGCAGGUGCGAAAGCAGGGCCUAGCGAACUACAGUGCCCUCUUGGUGGGGGCCUGUCCUGACAGAAAAGUUACCCUGGGGGAAACAGUAUUGUCGCGGGUUAGAGUCCCUAUCGACCCCGCGGUUUGUAACUCCGAUGUCGGCACGUGGCAUCCUGGCAGUGCAGCAGCUGCCAAGGGUAGGGUUGUACACCCAUCAAAGCCGCACGCGAGCUGGGUUCAGUACGUCGCGAGACAGUACGGUGUCAUCUGCUGGGAGUGUGGGCUGUCUGAGGGGAAGGUCCGUUGAGUACGAGAGGAACAAUGGGUCGGGGCCUCUGGUGUACCAGUUGUCCGACAGUGCAUUGCUGGGCAGCUACGCCCCAGGCGAUAAGGGCUGAAAGCAUCUAAGCCUGAAGCGCCCCCCAAAAAUAGACAGCCAUCCCG